UGAUUAUUGUUUAACCUGUUCUCCUUAACCAGUUUACAUCUCCAUCAGCAUUCAACAAGUUGUAGAAGGGAGCCACGGAAAAUUAACAAUUGAUUCAGGUGAAAACAUCUGAAGCAAUGACAGAAGACAACGACAACCUAUGCGUUCAUUGACAUUGGCCUUAUAAGCCAGCAAGCUAUGUGACCAACUAGAAAAGAUGUAAGCACACAAGGGCACACUCACAUGGAUGUACUGGCCGAUGGGAAUAUUCAUUUACUGCUAUACUUUCAUUUAUACAUUUGACAAGCGUAUAGUACAGAGUGACUUCACGAAAAAUAUUACUAGAAAUUUGAUAUCAGUAUUAGUAAGAAUACCUACUUUAGUCCAUGAUUUGUUGCUCAAGGUUCCUCGUUCAAGGGCAUGUCUUUCCACCCAGUGAAUUUUAUUUUCACAGGUUUUGCACCUUCCCCCCAAAGUUGAUUAGAGCUCAAAUCAGCUCCUGCUGUUAUAGUCUUGCCAGUGUCCAUUGAGUUGGUCUUAGCUAGAGCCUUUCUACGUUUGUAUGUCAAAGGCAGCAUAGGUUCAUCUUUAAACCCCUCAGAAACACUGGAAUUGCUUAAUAGCUUCUCCGAUUUUUUUUCACUGAUGUCACUCUCACCUCUUGUUGGAUCUGAAGAAGAUGCCAUUAACACUUCCUGCUUACCAUUACCAAUGGCUGAAGUUCUGGGAACAGCUUCUGGAAUUCUUGGAAAUGCAUUGAUAUGCCUGUCUUUCAUGAGUGCCAUUCGCUGUUGCCUGCCGUGAUAUUGGACACCAGAUGGGGUAGAUUCCAAGGAUCUCAGGGAAAAGUCUUCAGUUCCUUUGCGCAAAUGUGGCCACAAACUUUCAAUACCAAAGGCGUGCCCCCUUGCACUCAUUAGAUUCAUUGGUCGAAAUUCCUCAACAGGGUCCCUUCUCACAUCACCUGCCAACAAAGCAUGUUUUCCUAAAACCGUAAUGUCAUCUGGAGAAGGCAUUAUUGGCCUCUCUAUUUUUCUAGUAGAGCUUUCUGAGUGACUACUAGUUCUCAUACUACUUUCUUGCUGAUUCAGUAGAUAAUGAGGUUGAUUUAGAGUUGAAUGAACUCUGCUACCAUCAACCUUAUGCCUUAAAAAUGGUGAUCCAUAUAGGCCACCUGCAUCUGGAAAGUGUGUAUGUGCUGGGAAAGAAAACUUAAAAUCCUGUAAACCUUGGGUCCUGACCAGAAAUGUUGGUUGUGCUCCCCUUGGCACCACUUCUGAUUGUUCCAGCCAGACAGAAGGAACUUUAGGUACUAUUUUCAACAAUCCCUUGGGUACAGAUCGACGCUGCUCUGAAAUGUCACUGCCAAUUAUUUUUGGAUUGUGAUUUGGGAAUACGCCAUUCCCAGAUGCCUUCAUCUUUAAAACCCCCUUUGCUCUGUGUUUUGGAGCAAAUUUCAUUCCAUUGGCAGAUAGAGUUGGCAAAACAUCUUUUGCUGUCUUUCGCUCCUCUGGCUUCAUUCCCUUUGUGUGCAAGCUAACCUCCUCACUUAACAGUUGAUCAUCCUUGGGAAAUUUGUUAAGAUCAAGCAAAUUGAUGGCUUUCUGUUUUCUCUUAUUUUUCCACAUAGAAAUCCUUUCCUCAACACCAGAGCUCAUUUCACACUGAUCCCACAUCCUUCUCAUAUGUAUGAACAUUUGUGUCAUCCUGUCAUGGUAAGAUCUUAAUGAAUGAUAAUACUUUUUUCUCUGUAUAAACUGCAAACUUUCUCUGAGAUGAACCACUUUUGGAGGAUAGAAUCCACUUCUCAAUCUUUUGAAAAACACAUCCAAUGGGUUCCCAAAAUAUAGAUCACUACCUUCAAAAAGCUCCUUCAUAGUCAAACAAAAAGUCUGCUGGUCCAUAUCUGGAAGGUAAGCCGACAGCCAGAACCUUUCUUCCUCUGUCAAACAAGAAUUCCAAGUGUCCAAUGAUAAUAUUUCCCUCAAAUCUGGCAGAUCAAAGAGUUCAUAUGGUAUGCCACACAGCUGACCUUCUACCAAGCCAAGCUCACAGCACAACUCAGUGAGCUCAAAAUCAUCAGAAUCAUCACCUGUGUCUGCUCCUGAGACAGGGUUAUCUUCUAUUUCCUUCUCUCCAGCAUUGGAUACAAAAAAUGUUUUACUGUGUUUGAAACUCUGAUGGCCAAUCUUUUGAAUUCUCAUUGACACAGAAGGUCUUCUGAGCACAAUGAUCUAGUUAUAAGAAGUCAGAUCCCAGUGUGAAAAUUUACUGCCACGAUUAAGAUCCCUGAAGAGAACAUGGACCUUUUAGCCAUCAAAUUCAGUUUUACACAAGAAAUCCUCUAACAUGUCAAACCAUUUGAUAUUUGCUGGAAAACAUUGCUAAAAUUCCACAAAGAUAGGAUAUAUCCUAUCUUGUGAAUCAUGAGAACAUUAUUUCCCAUGGUUAUGAACUACUCAUGCUUUAGAGAGAUCACAAUUAAAGACAAGACAGCAAUUAACAGCCUUCCAUUUUCCCAAACUACCUUGGUUGAAAUCGAUAAGAAUAGAAACCCCAACAGCGUACGAACCCCAUUUGAUUUUAGUUUAGCUUUACUUCUCAAGCCCACCUUAUUUCUGCCUUCCUUUUAUUUACCUUUUUCCCCUCUUCUUUUUUGUCUGUAUUUUCGCUUGUUAACCUUUCCACUGUGUGUCCAGUGAGCGUCAGGCAAUACCAUAGUCUGAAACAGCGAU
rnacentral:misc_RNA from 1 species